AGAGUUUGAUCCUGGCUCAGAUUGAACGCUGCGGCAGGCCUAACACAUGCAAGUCGAGCGGAUGAGUGGAGUUUGCUCCAUGAUUCAGCGGCGGACGGGUGAGUAAUGCCUAGGAAUCUGCCUGGUAGUGGGGGACAACGUUUCGAAAGGAACGCUAAUACCGCAUACGUCCUACGGGAGAAAGCAGGGGACCUUCGGGCCUUGCGCUAUCAGAUGAGCCUAGGUCGGAUUAGCUAGUUGGUGAGGUAACGGCUCACCAAGGCGACGAUCCGUAACUGGUCCGAGAGGAUGAUCAGUCACACUGGAACUGAGACACGGUCCAGACUCCUACGGGAGGCAGCAGUGGGGAAUAUUGGACAAUGGGCGAAAGCCUGAUCCAGCCAUGCCGCGUGUGUGAAGAAGGUCUUCGGAUUGUAAAGCACUUUAAGUUGGGAGGAAGGGCAGUAAGUUAAUACCUUGCUGUUUUGACGUUACCGACAGAAUAAGCACCGGCUAACUUCGUGCCAGCAGCCGCGGUAAUACGAAGGGUGCAAGCGUUAAUCGGAAUUACUGGGCGUAAAGCGCGCGUAGGUGGUUCAGCAAGUUGGAUGUGAAAGCCCCGGGCUCAACCUGGGAACUGCAUCCAAAACUACUGAGCUAGAGUACGGUAGAGGGUGGUGGAAUUUCCUGUGUAGCGGUGAAAUGCGUAGAUAUAGGAAGG
rnacentral:rRNA from 1 species